GACGAAUGCUGGCUGCGUGCUUAACACAUGCAAGUCGAACGGUGAAGGGGAGCUUGCUCCCCGGAUCAGUGGCGAACGGGUGAGUAACACGUGGGCAACCUGCCCCUCACUCUGGGAUAACUCCGGGAAACCGGGGCUAAUACCGGAUACGACCGGGAGCGACAUCGCUCCUGGUGGAAAGAACUUCGGUGAGGGAUGGGACCGCGGCCUAUCAGCUAGUUGGUGGGGUAACGGCCCACCAAGGCGACGACGGGUAGCCGGCCUGAGAGGGCAGACGGGCCAAGUGGGACUAAGACACGGCCCAGACGCCUACGGGAGGCAGGAGGUGGGAACAAGGCGCAAUGGGCGAAAGCCUGACGCAGAGACGCAGCGUGAGGGACGGAGGCCUUCGGGUUGUAAACCUCUUUCAGCGGGGAAGAAGCGAAAGUGACGGUACCAGCAGAAGAAGCACCGGCGAACUACGUGCCAGCCGCCGCGGUAA
rnacentral:rRNA from 1 species